GUAUUAAUGCUAAUCGUGAUAGGGGUUUUAAUUCGCUAUUGACUCCUACAUGUUAGCAUUAUUAU
rfam:Xenopus laevis strain J chromosome 2L, whole genome shotgun sequence.